AUCAUGCAUGUAUAGAAUUAUGCAUCUGACCCAUGGUGUAGGAAGGAAACUGACAGGGAAAAAGGUGGAAAAUGAAGAGUUCCAAGUGAGGGCCCAUCCAUGGAAGAAGCCUACAAGGUCAGGUCAUUGCGAAUAAUGGUGAGGAACAUACAUGUACAGACAAUGAUUGUUGCUGUAAAACUAAGGUAAAGGUGGAAAUUGGUGUGUUGCAUGACUUCUUUCCAGUUGUGGUUUGAAGGAACACUCCAGAUGCUUCUGACAGGACGGCACUGCAAUUGGGGACUCUACUGCACUCGUUAGUCAUGUGGAGGACCUGUGUCUUCAUGGAUGUGUCCCUAAAGAAAGACAACAGAAGAGCUGCACAUGCAGUCUGAUCCAGCAUUGCCCCUCUGGUGGGAAUUACCAGCUGUUGCCAUGGUAUACUUGGGGAGAGCCACUAGGGAAGAUGGACUUCAAGCUAAGACACUCUCAUGUAAACUGAUGAAAGUAACCAGGUCUGUGCUGAUCACACCCUUCUUGAGACUCUCUUCAAUACACAGUUUAAGUGUUCGGCAUCACCCUUCCCUUGAAAGCUCUGGAAUGCAGAUGGCGCUCACAGCUACACGGAGAGAAAACAAAUGGACUUUUAGAACUUGAGACAGAAUCUGAAUCCACGCCAUUUCCCUCUUUCCAUGAGUUUGGUGCCUCCAAUGGUGUAAUUUGAACAUCCACUCCGGACCCUAUGAAAAAGACAAGCUUGCUCCUGGAUGCCUGCUCAUCCUGCUCUGUCACUGUGGCUGCCUCAGCCUUCAGAAGUAUUCAGAGGAUGCUGCAGUCUCCAAUACAAGUUUACCUCAAACAUAAGGAGCAUCAAAGAUCUUGAGAUCUUUCUCACCAGUUUACAUUCCUUGACAGCUCCGGCGCAGAUAAAAUGAAGCCCUUUCUAUAGCAGGUCUGUGCUGAAUUCGGACUUGCUAAUUCCUUUUCAAAGUAACCUCACUAAACCUGUGUGAUCCAGGAAAAUCAAGACUCCCUCCCUCCCCCACUUGGGAUUCCUAGUCUCAUUAAUAAAAGAAUUUAAGAACAGGCUCAAAUGGAAGCACGGGGACAGUCUUACUACAGUGUUAAAGGAAAACCGCAGGGCAGGCAAACAGUAAAACAGCAGCAGCUGCCAGAAGGCAGUGAACGGGGAGAGAAGGAAGAAGGCCAGGCCAUUUAAGUUGGCAUGGAAAGCAGACACAUAGUGGACAGGCAGCCACAUGGCAGGCAGGAGAGCUUUAAAGAAAGGGUAAGAAAGCCCAAAGUUUUGGCGUUGGAGAAACCCAAAGUGAUGAGAAAGGCAUGCUUAAAAACAUUCAGAAAGAAAAUACAGAAAAGUCACAUUCUUCUGGAUAACUCAGAAAAAAAAAAAAGCAAAUUUAUGACCCAAGAUGGUUCACUCUAUUGGCUUCUGCAUUAUGUACAGCAGUUCUGAGACAGUAAGGUAUAAUACCUCAUCAAACAACUAGUUAGUCCUAGUUAGUUAUUCUGCCUGCAUCUUUAGCAUGGCUUAAGUUGAGCCCAACUUCCUAGGGGUGGCCUAUUAGCCAAAGUGACUAACCUAGCCAUACUGGAAUGGUGGGUCUCUACCCAGACCAAAGAUUUUACUUAAUGGCCCUUUACUGGUGCUCUAACACCAAGACCCAUGGGGGGGAAAAAAACAGGCAUGGUCACACCUAUAGGCACGGUGCACAGAUAUGCACACCUAUAACUCCAGGGUUACAGGAGACACGGGGAUAUAUGGAAAUUCAUCUAACCACCCAGCUAUGCACCAACAACAGACCAAAGUAUGAUUUCACCACAGUCCAACUUGUUAACACAAAUGAGUUUAUUGAGGUUACCAGCAAAGCACAAGUGAGCGGUUACUUAUAGGGGUGUUAGAGAUGCAUCAUUGCAAAGUCCCACCCCAUCAUGAAUGACAACCUCACAGAAACUGCAUCAUAGAGUCCUGCUUUUAAUCAACCUUUUACUUCUUUCUAUAGUCUAUCAUCUCCCAAGAUCCCUUGCAGCUGGGCAGUGAAAUAAUAGCUGUAACGUCGGAGGAGGGUCUCCUCACUUUCCCUACAUUUGGCUGCCACUGUGUUGACUUGCUCCAUCUAGUACCCAUCACCAUGGGGCAAAGUCAAAGAUGGCAUCUUGUUUUGACCAAGGGAAAAGCACCCUACAAUAGCAUCAUAGGUUCAGUGAGAGAAUCUUUCUCAAAGGAAUAAGGUAGAGUGUUAGAACAGGACACCAGAAUUCUUCCUCUGGCUUCCACACACAUGCACAUAUAUAUCACAUGUUCCCCAAAGCAAACUUGAGGAAUCAUUUUAGCAAACAACAUUGAAAAUAUCUGUAGUAUAUCCCCAGUGAUAAGAUUGCUGGAUUGUAGGGUUCAUCUUUUCCUGAAAGUUGAAUAGUAAUUUCCACAAUGACUGUGAUAAUUUACCCUCCCACUAAGAUUUUCCUCACCAGAAUGUAUUAUGUUUUGUCUUUCUUGAUAGUUGCUAGAGACAUUUGCAUUCCCAUCUUUAUUGCAAUGCAAUUCAUAAUAGGCAAGAUAUAUGUAUCUAACCCAUGU